GAUGAACGCUGGCGGCGUGCCUAAUACAUGCAAGUCGAGCGAACGGACUAGAAGCUUGCUUCUCUGAUGUUAGCGGCGGACGGGUGAGUAACACGUGGAUAACCUACCUAUAAGACUGGGAUAACUUCGGGAAACCGGAGCUAAUACCGGAUGAUAUUUUGAACCGCAUGGUUCAAAAGUGAAAGACGGUCUUGCUGUCACUUAUAGAUGGAUCCGCGCUGCAUUAGCUAGUUGGUAAGGUAACGGCUUACCAAGGCAACGAUGCAUAGCCGACCUGAGAGGGUGAUCGGCCACACUGGAACUGAGACACGGUCCAGACUCCUACGGGAGGCAGCAGUAGGGAAUCUUCCGCAAUGGGCGAAAGCCUGACGGAGCAACGCCGCGUGAGUGAUGAAGGUCUUCGGAUCGUAAAACUCUGUUAUUAGGGAAGAACAUGUGUGUAAGUAACUGUGCACAUCUUGACGGUACCUAAUCAGAAAGCCACGGCUAACUACGUG
rnacentral:rRNA from 1 species